GGCCUUGUGGCCCAAUGGAUAAGGCGCCUGACUACGGAUCAUGAGAUUCGAGGUUACAGUCCUGACAGGGUCU
rnacentral:tRNA from 1 species